rnacentral:rRNA from 1 species
CGCUAUCACUCCUACGGGAGGCAGCAGUCGGGGAAUUUUGGACAAUGGGGGCAACCCUGAUCCAGCCAUGCCGCGUGAGUGAAGAAGGCCUUCGGGUUGUAAAGCUCUUUCGGCGGGGAAGAAAUAGCAACGGCUAAUAUCCGUUGUUGAUGACGGUACCCGCAUAAGAAGCACCGGCUAACUACGUGCCAGCAGCCGCGGUAAUACGUAGGGUGCGAGCGUUAAUCGGAAUUACUGGGCGUAAAGCGUGCGCAGGCGGUUCGUAAGACAGACGUGAAAUACCCCGGGCUCAACCUGGGAACUGCGUUUGUGACUGCGAGGCUAGAGUACGGCAGAGGGGGGUAGGAAUUCCACGUGUAGCAGUGAAAUGCGUAGAGAUGUGGAGGAAUACCGAUGGCGAAGGCAGCCCCCUGGGUUAGUACUGACGCUCAUGCACGAAAGCGUGGGGAGCAAACAGGAUUAGAUACCCUGGUAG